GGGAGAUUCCUGGCGUGCAUCUACUUAAUUUGAAGAAGAACAUCACCUGUCUGUAAUCCACCUGCGUAAGUACUGGUCAAGGGGCUCAUCGGCUAUCAAGUUAUAGAUUUCAGUGGCUAAUAGAAGACACUGCUGAGGUCAGACGAGAGUGCAUCCUCAAAGGUCUGUGUGUGUACCUAAAUGAAGAUCCAGAGAAGCUGGUGAGGGAGUACAUGGACGUUGAUGAAUGAAAUGGUCAAAGCCGAGACUGUCCUCGGAAUCGUCAUUUGAGCAGAGGGUGCAGAGGCUGCCGAUGCACAUCUGGAUGUUGGGAUUGUCCUGGAGGAGGUGGAAGUUAUGAACAGCUUGGGCAGUGUAUCUUCUGCAAUAGUGAUGCUGCUGCGACUUAUCUACGCACUAAACUUGAGCUACCCUCAAGUUUAGUGCGUUCAGCACUCAACUUGCUCAGUAACUCAAGCAUACCUUUGAAGUAAUACAGAAAAUAAUAAUGAAAUUGGAUGGAAAGAACUUAUCAAAGAAAGCACAAGUUCUCAAUAUGAAACUCGCUGCUAAGUUGAGUAAAGUUUCAUAUGGAAAAUGAGUGUUUAAAGUCUGCAGUAGAAAAGAUUUAUA